GUGGGGAAAUGGGCAAUGCCUCCAGCACGGCAUCUCAGUUAUGUGGCCUAUUUCUAUUCUUCAGAUGGAUCUGUAACUAGCAGGGUACAACUUUCACUGUUCUCUGCAUCUAGGGACUGUAGUGGCUUUUGCUUUAUACAGUGAAACAUUGAAAUUCACUUUCAAAAGUCUUCAAAAGUGGCCUGGCCUUGCGUCUGGGAGAUGGCAACCUGGGCACCACAGUCCCAUCAGCUAUGAC